rnacentral:rRNA from 1 species
AUUGAACGCUGGUGGCAUGCUUAACACAUGCAAGUCGAACGGAGUCAAUUUUAGCUUGCUAAAGUUGAUCGAGUGGCGGACGGGUGAGUAAUACAUAGGAAUCUGCCCUUUAGCGGGGGACAACUUAGGGAAACUUAAGCUAAUACCGCAUAACAUCUAAGGAUCAAAGCUGGCGCAAGCUGGCGCUAAAGGAUGAGCCUAUGUCGGAUUAGCUAGUUGGUGGGGUAAAGGCCUACCAAGGCGACGAUCCGUAGCUGUUCUGAGAGGAAGAUCAGCCACACUGGGACUGAGACACGGCCCAGACUCCUACGGGAGGCAGCAGUGGGGGAUAUUGGACAAUGGGGCAACCCUGAUCCAGCAAUGCCACGUGUGUGAAGAAGGCCUGAGGGUUGUAAAGCACUUUUGUGGGGGAAGAAGUGGAGUAGGUUAAGAGCUAGCUCCAUUGACAUUACCCCAAGAAAAAGCACCGGCUAACUCUGUGCCAGCCGCCGCCGUAA